rnacentral:rRNA from 1 species
UACGUAGGGGGCAAGCGUUGUCCGGAUUUACUGGGCGUAAAGAGCGUGUAGGCGGCCAAGCAGGUCCGUUGUGAAAACUGGAGGCUUAACCUCCAGACGUCGACGGAAACCGCGUGGCUAGAGUCCGGAAGAGGAGAGUGGAAUUCCUGGUGUAGCGGUGAAAUGCGCAGAUAUCAGGAGGAACACCAGUGGCGAAGGCGCC